rnacentral:rRNA from 1 species
AACGAACGCUGGCGGCAGGCCUAACACAUGCAAGUCGAACGCCCUAGCAAUAGGGAGUGGCAGACGGGUGAGUAACACGUGGGAACCUUCCCUAUAGUACGGAAUAUACCAGGGAAACUUGGAGCAAUACCGUAUACGCCCGAGAGGGGAAAGAUUUAUCGCUAUAGGAUGGGCCCGCGUAGGAUUAGCUAGUUGGUGAGGUAAUGGCUCACCAAGGCGACGAUCCUUAGCUGGUUUGAGAGAACGACCAGCCACACUGGGACUGAGACACGGCCCAGACUCCUACGGGAGGCAGCAGUGGGGAAUAUUGGACAAUGGGCGGCAAGGCCUGAUCCAGCCAUGCCGCGUGAGUGAUGAAGGCCUUAGGGUUGUAAAGCUCUUUUGCCGGGACGAUAAUGACGGUACCCGGAGAAUAAGUCCCGGCUAACUUCGUGCCAGCCGCCGCAGUAAC